GAUUUAAUACCCGUUCGGUUAAGCCUGCACGCACUACAACACCCGAUUUUUGCAAGGCAAGCUCUAAUUUUGGAACUCUAGAAUGAAAAUUUCUUAGGAUUAUUCUGUAUACCUUUUCGACAUCUCUCGCAAAUUCAUCAACGUUGUUGUCGCUGCUGCUGUUGUCCCCGUCUUUAAAGCUCCCUUCUUGAGUUUUGAGACAAACAAUACCAAAACCAUUUCUUGGAUUGUUAGGUACAGAAUUUUCUUUGAUGGG
rnacentral:misc_RNA from 1 species